rfam:Triticum aestivum genome assembly, contig: Triticum_aestivum_CS42_TGACv1_scaffold_571719_7AS
UGAGUACUCCCUCCAUCCGAAAAUACUUGUCAUCAAAAUGGAUAAAAGGGGAUGUAUCUAGAUGUAUCCCUUUUAUCCAUUUUGUAUAUCUAGAUACAUCCCCUUUUAUCCAUUUUGAUGACAAGAAUUUCCAGACGGAGGGAGUACAAG